rnacentral:rRNA from 1 species
GAGUUUGAUCAUGGCUCAGGAUGAACGCUGGCGGCGUGCUUAACACAUGCAAGUCGAACGAACCUUCGGGUUAGUGGCGGACGGGUGAGUAACGCGUGAGAAUCUGCCCUCAGGAGGGGGAUAACAGCUGGAAACGGCUGCUAAUACCCCAUAUGCCGCGAGGUGAAAUGAAUUUCGCCUGAGGAUGAGCUCGCGUCUGAUUAGCUAGUUGGUGUAGGUAAUGGCUCACCAAGGCAUCGAUCAGUAGCUGGUCUGAGAGGAUGAUCAGCCACACUGGGACUGAGACACGGCCCAGACUCCUACGGGAGGCAGCAGUGGGGAAUUUUCCGCAAUGGGCGAAAGCCUGACGGAGCAACGCCGCGUGAGGGAUGAAGGCCUCUGGGCUGUAAACCUCUUUUAUCAAGGAAGAAGAUCUGACGGUACUUGAUGAAUAAGCCACGGCUAAUUCCGUGCCAGCAGCCGCGGUAAUACGGGAGUGGCAAGCGUUAUCCGGAAUUAUUGGGCGUACAGCGUCCGCAGGCGGCCCUUCAAGCCUGCUGUUAAAAAGUGGAGCUUAACUCCAUCAUGGCAGUGGAAACUGAGGGGCUUGAGUGUGGUAGGGGCAGAGGGAAUUCCCGGUGUAGCGGUGAAAUGCGUAGAUAUCGGGAAGAACACCAGUGGCGAAGGCGCUCUGCUGGGCCAUCACUGACGCUCAUGGACGAAAGCCAGGGGAGCGAAAGGGAUUAGAUACCCCUGUAGUCCUGGCCGUAAACGAUGAACACUAGGUGUCGGGGGAAUCGACCCCCUCGGUGUCGUAGCCAACGCGUUAAGUGUUCCGCCUGGGGAGUACGCACGCAAGUGUGAAACUCAAAGGAAUUGACGGGGGCCCGCACAAGUGGUGGAGUAUGUGGUUUAAUUCGAUGCAACGCGAAGAACCUUACCAGGGUUUGACAUCCUGCGAAUCUCUUGGAAACGAGAGAGUGCCUUCGGGAACGCAGUGACAGGUGGUGCAUGGCUGUCGUCAGCUCGUGUCGUGAGAUGUUGGGUUAAGUCCCGCAACGAGCGCAACCCACGUCUUUAGUUGCCAGCAUUUAGUUGGGCACUCUAGAGAGACCGCCGGUGAUAAACCGGAGGAAGGUGUGGAUGACGUCAAGUCAUCAUGCCCCUUACAUCCUGGGCUACACACGUACUACAAUGCUACGGACAAAGGGCAGCAAGUUCGCGAGGACAAGCAAAUCCCAUAAACCGUGGCUCAGUUCAGGUCGUAGGCUGCAACUCGCCUACGUGAAGGAGGAAUCGCUAGUAAUCGCAGGUCAGCAUACUGCGGUGAAUACGUUCCCGGGCCUUGUACACACCGCCCGUCACACCAUGGAAGUUGGCCACGCCCGAAGCCGUUACUCCAACCCUUGUGGAGGAGGACGUCGAAGGUGGGGCUGAUGACUGGGGUGAAGUCGUAACAAGGUAACC